UUCCUUAAUAACAAGGAAUGAUGAGAUUUCAAAUCUUCUACUUGAUUUGAGAAAGCUAUGAACAGACUAGAGGUAGGAUAUAGGAUAAAAAAAAGUUAAAAUUACAUUCUAGGAAAGGCUCCUUCCUUUCCGUCUGGCGGCAGCCAUCAGGUAAGCCAAGAUGGGUGCAUACAAGUAUUUCCAGGAGCUGUGGAGGAAGCAGCAGUCUGAUGUCAUGCGCUUUCUUCUGAGAGUCCGCUGCUGGCAAUACCGGCAGCUCUCUGAGCUCCACAGGGCUCCCUGCCCCACCCGACCGGAUAAAGCGCGCAGACUGGGAUACAAGUCCAAGCAAGGUUAUGUCAUAUAUAGGAUUCAUGUGCGCUGUAGUGGCUGCAAACGCCCAGUUCCUAAGGGUGCAAGCUAUGGCAAGCCUGUGCAUCAUGGUGUUAACCAGCUAAAAUUUGCUCGAAGCCUUCAGUCUGUUGCAGAGGAGGGAGGUGGACGCCACUGUGGGGCUCUAAGAGUCCUGAAUUCUUACUGGGUAGGUGAAGAUUCCACGUACAAAUUUUUUGAGGUUUCUCCUCAUUGAUCCAUUCCAUAAAGCUAUCAGAAGAAAUCCUGACACCCAGUGGAUCACCAAACUGGUGCACAAGCACAGGGAGAUGCGUGGGCUGACAUCUGCAGGCCUCAAGAGCCGUGGCCUUGGAAAGGGCCAUAAGUUCCACCACACUAUUGGUGGUUCUCGCAUGCAGCUUGGAGAAGGCGCAAUACUCUCCAGCUCUACCGUUACCACUAAUAUAAAUAAUGUUUAUAAAAUUCAUACCUAGUAAACAAUUUAGGAUGGUCACGUCUGCAUAAAGGUGUUAUUUGUCUGUUAAACUAGUCUGCAGAUUGUUUGAUGAAUGCUUUGUCAAAUAUGAAGUUAAAAGUGCAAUAAUGUUUGAAGACUAUAAGUGAUGGUGUAUCUUGUUUCUAAUAAGAUAAGCUUUUUUGUCUUUGCUUUAUCUUACUAGGGAGUUAUAUGUCAGUGUUUAAAACAUGCUAUGUGGUAUGAUAUGUGUAAAAUAAAUUCUUUAAAAGAGGAAAAAAA